GAUAAUAAUUCUUUGCCACUAUCGCAAAUUAGAUUAUGAGCUCUAAUUUUAUGACUUCUUAUAUUAGACCAUUGAAAGUAAAGAAGAUUAAUACAGGAGCCAAGUAGUAGUAUCAGUCGGAUAAGUAGGCAUAUCGAUUAUGAAUGGGCGUCCAGGUCCAUUCAGGUUGAACGUGACCCAGCGGCUAGUCGUCUCGACGAUAUUGCUCGUCUUACUCGGGAGAAGAAGAAGGAGAAGCCCCAGCCUCGGUUUCCUUCACCGAGUUGUCAAGAAUUAUCUUAGUUGGUUGUUGUUAGAACUUGGGAGGAUGGGACACAAAUCGAAUGCAGAUGUUACGAGUUGUCGAAAGGGUUUUAACAACGGCGAAAGAUGAGAGUAGGUGCGGUCAGUGUCUUCGGGUACACGAGACCGAGAUAGUCGUUUUGUCUCGUUGCUUCUGUAACUACAUUUACGCGUAUGUAUAUACACGAGGUCCAAAAGAAAGAAGGAGAUGUGAGAUUAACAUCAGCGCGUUGCAACACGCUACCUAGCAAGCAAGCAAGAAAGCAAGCAGUCACCGUCUCGGAGUGGCUCACGCCACCAAUCCACCAAAACUAUUUCCAGACGCAUUUCAUUAAUCUUGAACCAAAAACGUCCAGCGGAAAAUGGCGAGUCGUGUCGUGCCAUGCUAUGCCAUGCCAUGCUAUGCUAAGCUAGCUGACUGGCUGGCUGGUUGGCUGGCUGGCUGGCUGGUGUGAGAACUCUGGUUUAAAAUGCGUUCAGGCCACCUGGCAGAAAUAGCAGCCGUGACGACGUCGUCGUUUUCCCUUCGCGACAACGCGACACGCGCUUUACCGAGUAACGUAAAAAAAGAUUAAUCUAAAAGCAAGAGAAAGAGAGGGAAUGUGUUUAUUGUACAUAGGGUGCUAACCCCGCACGUACUAAAGUUAAAUUAAGAGAUUCUUAUUUAGGUACGAAGGUGAAAGUAUCAUAUUUAUUGCAGUUAUUAUAACGAGGUUAAAUGUAAUUAACGAUACCUUAUUAUUAUUUCAAUAUAAAAUUAGCGAAGCUAGGAUUCACCAUACAUUUUUGAUUUACUCAAUUUGUUCUUCUUUUAUUUCCAAGAUUUAAUCUAUUUCCUAGCGGAUAUUGUCAUUAAUUAUUUACGCUAGACUGCAGGUGUUCUAUUAGCGAAAUGUUGGAUUAGUUUUAUGUUUGAAUUUAAGAUAUGUUUCUUCCUCUUUACGAAGCGGAACGAUAGAAAAAAUAAUAUAUACUUGCUGGAUAAUUGUCUUUUCUUACACAUUAUAAAGAUAAUGAUGAUUAUGAUUAUGUUAAUGAUGAUGAUGAUGAUGAUGAUGAUGAUGAUGCUUGAUGAUGAUGACGACGAAGAUGAGAUUAACAUCUUCUAAUAAUAGAUGAUCUAUGUCCUCGCACGAAUUUAAUUCACGAGACCGGAAACCGAUUCCGAAAUACUUAUUCCAAAUGAGAGUGCGGAAGUAUUAAAGGGAACGUUUCUCAACGUGUAACGUGCAAAAUAUAACGACGAAAACUACGACACCCACGGGAUACACACGUCAAUAGAUACGAUUCAAAGAUCUCCGGAAUAAAAACUAGAAAAAUUCAAAGUAUAAGCGUGACUAUUGAUGGAGUAACGUGAAAAAUGUGGAAACAAUAUUGAAAACGAUAAUAUACAUGUCAAUCGAUUACGAUGAACAACUACGACAAAAAGAACGACAACAAAUGUUCACGGAUUCUUCCAAGGAAGAAAUAGCGUUGCGUAUAGAAGAGAAUGAGUCGGAGAUAUCUGAAUUAGAAUCGAUAAAAGUUGAACGACGAUCAUCUGAAGAAAUUUGGAUUAAAGAUAUCAUUGAAAAUUGUAUUUUGAUUUUACCAAUUGAACGAAGAAAAGAACAAAAUGAUGAUUGUUACUCCUUGUCAGAAGACAUCUGUAGAAUUUGCCACAUGGGUGGUACUUUGCUGUCCUCCAAUAAGAAUCAAUCAAGAAGUCAACCCGAGGAGAAGCAAAUUCGGAUAUCCGCGUUCUCCUCCUAUUCCUAUUUGGGUCCUCUUAUCUCUGCAUGCAAAUGUCGAGGAACCGUAGGCCUGGUUCAUGCGGAUUGUCUCGAGAGAUGGUUAACGGAAUCUGGUCAUACGAGAUGCGAGUUGUGCGGGUACAAAUAUACAACCAAGAGAAUACCACGUCACAGUAUUUUACGUAGCCUGUUAAUAUGGUUCAAGACGGUAGUAGUUACGCGUCAGAUGUUCUUGGACGUUCUUUAUCUGGUCGUGACGACUCCAUUGGCUCUGUUCGCUUGCUACGUUUGCGUUAUAGCGUUGAAAUUAUUAAUAGAGAGUGGCUUUUAUCAGGUGCCAUGGGUAAUCGUCGUCAUGUUACCGACCUGUUCUCUCACGCUCGUUGCUUAUUGGGCUUGGUUAAUGACUUUAGGAAGAUUACACAUUCGCCGUUGGCGUCGCUAUUGGAGAAAUAACUUCGUCGUACGUCUUCUACCGGAGGACAUCAAUAACCUUGCAAACGAACAAAGCAUCGAGUCUACCACGAUUGAUGAUUUUUAUCAAGAAGUUGAGAAUGAACGAAUGAACGAUAGACGAUUAAUUGGAACUUCUCUUUAACGAGAGAGUAACUUGAUCUACGAUGAUGAUGAUGAUGAUGAUGAUAAUGAUAAUGAUGAUGAUGAUGAUCGAACAAGACAAUUCGAUCCUUGUGUACCAUCAAAUGAGAAGCAAGAAAAUUCGUAACUUCUGAUGGUUUUCUAAGAAGACAGGUAGCUCUGACUGGAAAGAGAAACAGCUUCUCGACUUUCCCUUCGAUAGGAUCAAAAACGUGCUCCGACGAGAUAAUAACCGUGUUAGUUACAGGCCAAUGAAGUCAAAUCGAUGGACCGGCGCCAAGCAAUACUCGUUCGGUAGUGCAUUUUAGAAAUUCAACGUGCAAAAACUAACACGCUCAAUGAUUUACUUCAAUUAUUUCUUAUCUGUUAUCGUUUAAACAUAAUGAAACGAUUAUCCAUAAAAUACGAAGUAUAGUUAAGACUAACAAAAUAUAUUCAAAAUUGAUUAAGAAUUUAAAUUCAUUUAGAUACAAUACCUGUGAUAGUUUUUAUACUAGACCCCUC
rnacentral:misc_RNA from 1 species